UACGUGAGGUGCAAGCGUUAUCCGGAAUUAUUGGGUCGUAAGAGCUCGUUAGGCGGUUUGUCGCGUCUGCUGUGAAAACCGGAGGCUCAACCUCCGGCCUGCAGUGGGUACGGGCAAACUAGAGUGCGGUAGGGGAGAUUGGAAUUCCUGGUGUAGCGGUGGAAUGACGCAGAUAUCAGGAGGAACACCGAUGGCGAAGGCAGAUCUCUGGGCCGUAACUGACGCUGAGGAGCGAAAGCGUGGGGAGCGAACAGG
rnacentral:rRNA from 1 species